rnacentral:rRNA from 1 species
UAUUGCACAAUGGGGGGAACCCUGAUGCAGCGACGCCGCGUGAGUGAAGAAGUAUUUCGGUAUGUAAACUUCUAUCAGCAGGGAAGAAAAUGACGGUACCUGACUAAGAAGCCCCGGCUAACUACGUGCCAGCGGCCGCGGUAAUACGUCGGGGGCAAGCGUUAUCCGGAUUUACUGGGUUGAAAGGGAGCGUAGGCGGUGAUGCAAGUCAGAAGUGAAAGCCCGCAGCUCAACUGCGGGACUGCUUUUGAAACUGUAUGACUAGAUUGCAGGAGAGGUAAGUGGAAUUCCUAGUGUAGCGGUGAAAUGCGUAGAUAUUAGGAGGAACACCAGUGGCGAAGGCGGCUUACUGGACUGUAAAUGACGCUGAGGCUCGAAAGCGUGGGGAGCAAACAGG